UUCUAGUUGACGAGUCCCAAAUAGGACGAAAUGUGCGUUAUCCUGGAU
rnacentral:hammerhead_ribozyme from 1 species